AUUCAUACUGGCCAUGACAAUAUUUACCAGUGCAAUCAGCUUAGGUGGUGUGGGGAUAGCAAAUAUGAUUGAGAAGCUGGAGAACCAAGAUUAUAUGGGAUUUGAUAACCUUUGUUACCAUUCCUAGAUAUGUAAUUUGGCUUUAAAACAAAGGCUAGUUGUGGAAGGAUAUGACUACUUAAUUCCACAUUGUAAUAAGUCACAUUUUCAAUUUAUAUUGCGUCUAUUUGUUUUCAAGAAGAAAACAAAAUUAUAACUUGGAUCCAUCUCUAUUUUA